rnacentral:ncRNA from 2 species
UACCCUGUAGAACCGAAU